rnacentral:lncRNA from 1 species
UUCGGAAUGGACCAUUAAAUUGGUUCCAGUCAGCAAGUGUCCAAAUUUUGUUUUGUGCCCGAGCUCUCUCAAGUCCCGAACCCAUUUAGUUAUAAAAACAAUGACAGAUUAUGCUACCAUAAUUAGGGAUCUACUAAUAUAGCUACUCCGUGCUUUAAUUUAUUGUGAAUUUCUUACAGUAAACAGCUCUGGAUGUGAACGAGUACGAGUCGACCACAGUUAAUAUUUUAACCAAAAAAAAAAAAAGUAGAUCUUAAUUAAUUGAGAAAGAACCACGCCGCCGUCCAGCUAUAUGGCUAACAAUGUAUAGAAGUAUUUCCCAAAUUAUGUAUCACUGCCAAAAGGAAGAAGCAGCAGCAGAAGAAGAAGAAGAAGAUGUAUUAGCUAAUUAAGAUACUGUACAUGCGAAUGGAGACAGGAGAACUGUGUCUGUAAAUUAAAGAAGACAAAUUUAAGAACGAUGAAUUAGAGAGAGAAGAAUUAUAAGAAUUAGACAAAAGGAAAAGAAAAAUAAAUGAACAAACUUUGAUGGAGGAAAACUGAGAUUUAUUGUUAUAUGCACCACGACAAUUUUUAAUAUUUUGAUGUUGUUGAUAUUUUGUCAAAGCUGUACCCCCUGCCCUGCCGCCCAUGCAUGCAUAAUAUAUUUAUAUUAUAUAGAUCGAGAUAUUUAAUAGUCUUUGCAGUAGAUCGAUCGUCCUAUAUUAAAUUAAUAUUGAUGUUUUACCUAUCAAUUAUCAUUUAAUUAGUUUAAAUUCAAUUGGUAGCACUGUACCGAAAGUGUUUUAUUUAAUCAUUCAUAGGCUAAUUUAAUACCACUAAUCCUUUUUCGGACACUCACACAUUCUUUAAAACAACAACAACAGUUAACAACUAUACUUUCUCACGAUCCGCCCUGGCUAGCUGGUGAGAACAAUGCAAACAUGGAAUGAAUAGCCAACGAUCGCGCCACCUAAUGUAUGUGUGUAUGUACGUACGUGUUCGUGUGUGUACUGUAGUAAUCUUGAAGUUGGUUCGUUCGUAAUCACUCAAGCAUCACGCGCUGAAGAGGCUCAUGUUUUGAAAACAAAAGCAGCUGACCCUUUUCCAUUGUUUCUGGCUCUAGUUCUUUUGUGAGAUUCAUCGAUUGGUAUUAGCUACUACUGCAACUCUAACUUAUUCAAGGCCUUCUUCUAGCAAUCUAGAGCUGAAAUCUACAGGCUUCCACUGCACUCAGCUUAUCAUAAUCAGCUAGUACUAUAGAUGCAGGCAACUCAGUUCCAACCAAUUUAGUCAAGUACAGUCUACAGAGAGUGGUGCAGAUGUAGGCCAGGUCUACAGACCCCUGGAAAUACUGUCACAGCUAGAGCUUGAAAGUGAUGCUGAUGAGGAUGCCCAGCCUUUUUCUGCCAGUAACUCAGUCAAAACUGGUGGUGAGACUUUAUUGUCUGUUUUCGGUGGAAGAUGCUGCUCUUUCGAUUGCCUGGUGAUAGUGACACGAGCAGAUGCAGCUGCAGCCCGCUCAGCCUUCAAGGAGAAAUCUUUGUAUGAUCAGCGGAUAUAGCUUCUGAAGUACUUCAGGACUCAUUCUUCUCAAGCUGAAGAUGCGAGCUUUCAGUUCUCAUUCAGCAUUAGUCUAGAGCCGGUGUGUGCUACAGCCUGGUACCAGGUGAUUGGAAUUGUGAGAUCAAGAUUCUACUACUAGCAAAAACGGUUCAUAGCAGUGAGAGACAGAAAUACUACAAGCACAUUCAAAAAGCGAAGGCAAGCCCAGACAAAUAUAUGAGCAUCAUCAUCGAUGGGAUAUGGAUCAACACUGCACAGCAAUACCGCAACUACACCCAGCACCCAAAGCCCUAAGCCACACGGACCAACUCAACACACACAUCACUGGUGCAAUUGUAGAUGGAAGUGGUCAACACACUCAUAUCGACAUCAAAGAAUACCUUCAUGACAGCAACCUCACCAUCAACAUCAUCCUCAACAUUCUCAUCCACUGCACCGACUCCCUUCCACCAACUUUGUAUCUCCGAUUAGACAAGACAGCAAGGGAGAACAAGAAUCGACACGUCUUUGCCUUUCUCUCUCUCUUAAUGGAGCUCAUUAUCUUCAAAAAGAAGACGAUGCAACAGUGAGGUGGCCCAUUUGCGACUUAAUGCUAGCAGGCACUCAAACAGUGAAUGCUCACAGCAGCAAGUGUAUGCUGACAUCACAGAGGAAAAACCAUACAGACAGGUUCAUCUUGGACCCAAUGCGAGGAAGGCUCAAGAGGACAGAAAUACUGGAGGGAGAUAUGGUGGCCACCUACCGCGAGGCGUAUAGCACACAAUGACCACAGAUAGGACAAGGACAAGAUGUGGACAAGGUCAGGGAGGAUGUCCUUGUACUAGAAUGGUUUACAGGGACAUUGACAACAAAAUGGAAGAAGAUGAUGGUUGCUAUCACAGGACAGCGGGACUGGAAGCAGGUUUGGGUUGAGACCAUUCCAAGGGAUAGUGUAAUUCUCCUUCCUUUCACUCUGACAGCAAGAGACAAACUGCCACCUCAGUUAGUGAUUCGAUUGAAGGAGAAAUAUAUGGAUUAUUUGAAGUAGGUAUUCAGGCCUAGUUAAAGCCCUUCUAUAGUGUUGGGACCCCCCCCCCCCCAAUUUGAUGGCAAUAUUCCACAUAGAGUGCGUACUGACAUAUGGUUUUCGAUGAACACACAAUUCUGCAAGGAUUUUCAUGACGCUAGUGAUUGAAGACAAAUUUUGGUAAUAGAAAUAAAGGAAUUUCAAUUUUUCUCUUUUAAGCAUACAACUCAAUUUUUAAAAAGAUUUGUUUUUAAAUCAUCACUAAGAUAACAAAUGAACUUUCGAACAUUAAGUUUUAAGUAACAUGUAUAUGUGAUAAAUUGUUCGCCCUGAAACUGCACUGAAAUAUUUUAUUCGGCUCAAGUUCUUAUCUAGAAAAUAUCAGAGGAUAUCAGAGGAGGAGAGACAGACUAAUUCCAUGUCAACUGUAAAUGUAAAACAUUUUUUUCCCGUAUGAGUAUAAAUUUAUCUCAAAAUUGUUUGCAUAUGGGAUGUAGUCUUAACCCCCUCCCCCCCCCCCCCCCAUCCCCCACCCCUGCUUAUUCACAGGCUGGCUGAGUCGUUGCGAAAUUUUCGGCGCGAUUUUCAGAUUUUAAAACCCCACCUUGGAAAAAGUCCUGCGUACGCCCCUGUAAGUUGGUAUAAAGCUUAUACCAUUUAGUGCCCUGUUGGUUGGUAUAAUGCUUAUACCAUUUAGUGCUCUGUAGAUU